AUUGAACGCUGGCGGAAUGCUUUACACAUGCAAGUCGAACGGCAGCACGGGGCAACCUGGUGGCGAGUGGCGAACGGGUGAGUAAUACAUCGGAACGUGCCCAGUCGUGGGGGAUAACGUAGCGAAAGUUACGCUAAUACCGCAUACGAUCUAUGGAUGAAAGCGGGGGAUCGCAAGACCUCGCGCGAUUGGAGCGGCCGAUGUCAGAUUAGGUAGUUGGUGGGGUAAAGGCCUACCAAGCCGACGAUCUGUAGCUGGUCUGAGAGGACGACCAGCCACACUGGGACUGAGACACGGCCCAGACUCCUACGGGAGGCAGCAGUGGGGAAUUUUGGACAAUGGGCGCAAGCCUGAUCCAGCCAUUCCGCGUGCAGGAUGAAGGCCUUCGGGUUGUAAACUGCUUUUGUACGGAACGAAAAGGCUCUGGUUAAUACCUGGGGCUCAUGACGGUACCGUAAGAAUAAGCACCGGCUAACUACGUGCCAGCCGCCGCCGUAAAAC
rnacentral:rRNA from 1 species